UGACAGUACUCCUACGGGGAGGCAGCAGUGGGGGAAUAUUGCACAAUGGGCGCAAGCCUGAUGCAGCCAUGCCGCGUGUGUGAAGAAGGACCUUCGGGUUGUAAAGCACUUUCAGUCGUGAGGAAGGUAGUGUAGUUAAUAGCUGCAUUAUUUGACGUUUAGCGACAGAAGAAAGCACCGGCUAACUCCGUGCCAGCAGCCGCGGUAAUACGGAGGGUGCGAGCGUUAAUCGGAAUUACUGGGCGUAAAGCGCAUGCAGGUGGUUUGUUUAAGUCAGAUGUGAAAGACCCGGGGCUCAACCUCGGAAUAGCAUUUGUAAACUGGCAGACUAGAGUACUGUAGAGGGGGGUAGGAAUUUCAGGUGUAGCGGUGAAAAUGCGUAGAGAUCCGAAGGAAUACCGGUGGCGAAGGCGGCCCCCCUCGGACAGAUACUGACACUCAGAUGCGAAAGCGUGGGGAGCAAACAGGAUUAGAUACCCUGGUAG
rnacentral:rRNA from 1 species